rnacentral:lncRNA from 1 species
CGCGAGCGCGGAGGGAGAGCGCGUGCGUGGGGGCGCGUGCGUGGUGGAGCGCGCGCGCCCCCGCCCCCUGCCCCUCCACGGCCUGGGGGUGGGGAGCCGUUGCGAGAGCUCGUGGAGAAUUCAUCUGUAUCCUGUGAUAAACACUGGACAAAAGCAACUUGCAGAGGAAAGGCUUAUUUGACUCACAGCCUACAAUCCAUCAAGGAGGGAAGACAAGGCAGAAACUCCAGGCAGGAACCUGAAGCCAGAACCUGGAAGCAACCUAGAUGCCAAUCAACUGAAGAAUGGAUAUAGAAAAUGUGGUACAUUUACACAAUGGAGUAUGACUCAGCAGAAAAAACAAACAAACAACAAUGGAAUCUUGAAAUUCACAGGCAAAUGGAUGGAACUAGAAGAAACCAUCCUGAGUGAGGUAACCCAGUCACAAAAAGACAAACAUGGUAUGUUUGGUAUGGAUUUUAGACAUAGAGCAAAG